GAUGAACGCUGGCGGCGUGCCUAAUACAUGCAAGUCGAGCGAACGGACGAGAAGCUUGCUUCUCUGAUGUUAGCGGCGGACGGGUGAGUAACACGUGUAUAACCUACCUAUAAGACUGGGAUAACUUCGGGAAACCGGAGCUAAUACCAGAUAAUAUUUUGAACCGCAUGGUUCAAUAGUGAAAUACGGUCUUGCUGGCACUUAUAGAUGGAUCCGCGCUGCAUUAGCUAGUUGGUAAGGUAACGGCUUACCAAGGCAACGAUGCAUAGCCGACCUGAGAGGGUGAUAGGCCACACUGGAACGUAGACACGGUCAAGACGCCUACGGGAGGCAGCAGUAGGGAACCGUCCGCAAUGGGCGAAAGCCUGACGGAGCAACGCCGAGUGAGUGAUGAAGGUCUUCGGAUCGGAAAACUCUGUUAUGAGGGAAGAACAUAUGUGUAAGUAAACGUGCACAGCUUGACGGUACCUAAUCAGAAAGCAACGGCUAACUACGUG
rnacentral:rRNA from 1 species